rnacentral:lncRNA from 1 species
AAUCUUCUAACCUCCAAACCUACCGGGAGGUGGUGGAUCGCGCGCUCAUCGUGGAGAGCCGUGCGGCAGAGAUGCAGGAGCGGCGAGAGGGCUUGGACAGGGGUAAGGCCAAGAGGCCUGCGGCGGAGGGUGCGAGCCAGACGCACUCUAGGAGGCCGCCGAAACACCCUAGGAGCCAGCAGCGUGGGCGCGGCCCGGCAGCGCAGCGAGGAGGUCCAGAUCGACGCUGACCUCCCAAGUGCGUGAUCUGCGGUGGU